rnacentral:tRNA from 10 species
GCACCUGUAGCUCAGCUGGAUAGAGCGCUGCCCUCCGAAGGCAGAGGCCAAAGGUUCGAAUCCUUUCAGGUGCGCCA